rnacentral:rRNA from 1 species
CCUAACACAUGCAAGUCGAACGAGCGAGAGAGAGCUUGCUUUCUCGAGCGAGUGGCGAACGGGUGAGUAACGCGUGAGGAACCUGCCUCAAAGAGGGGGACAACAGUUGGAAACGACUGCUAAUACCGCAUAAGCCCACGGUGCCGCAUGGUACAGAGGGAAAAGGAGCAAUCCGCUUUGAGAUGGCCUCGCGUCCGAUUAGCUAGUUGGUGAGGUAACGGCCCACCAAGGCGACGAUCGGUAGCCGGACUGAGAGGUUGAACGGCCACAUUGGGACUGAGACACGGCCCAGACUCCUACGGGAGGCAGCAGUGGGGAAUAUUGCACAAUGGGGGAAACCCUGAUGCAGCGACGCCGCGUGGAGGAAGAAGGUCUUCGGAUUGUAAACUCCUGUUGUUGGGGAAGAUAAUGACGGUACCCAACAAGGAAGUGACGGCUAACUACGUGCCAGCAGCCGCGGUAAAACGUAGGUCACAAGCGUUGUCCGGAAUUACUGGGUGUAAAGGGAGCGCAGGCGGGAAGACAAGUUGGAAGUGAAAUCUAUGGGCUCAACCCAUAAACUGCUUUCAAAACUGUUUUUCUUGAGUAGUGCAGAGGUAGGCGGAAUUCCCGGUGUAGCGGUGGAAUGCGUAGAUAUCGGGAGGAACACCAGUGGCGAAGGCG